GGUAGACGCUGGCGGCGUGCCUAAUCAUGCAAGUCGAGCGGACUUACAAAAGCUUGCUUUNUUAGUUAGCGGCGGACGGGUGAGUAACACGUGGGCAACCUGCCCUUGAGACUGGGAUAACUUCGGGAAACCGGAGCUAAUACCGGAUAAUAUAAGGAACCUCCUGGUUCCUUGUUGAAAGAUGGUUUCGGCUAUCACUUAAGGAUGGGCCCGCGGCGCAUUAGCUAGUUGGUGAGGUAACGGCUCACCAAGGCGACGAUGCGUAGCCGACCUGAGAGGGUGAUCGGCCACACUGGGACUGAGACACGGNCCAGACUCCUACGGGAGGCAGCANUAGGGAAUCUUCCACAAUGGACGAAAGUCUGAUGGAGCAACGCCGCGUGAGUGAUGAAGGCCUUCGGGUCGUAAAGCUCUGUUGUUAGGGAAGAACAAGUGCGAGAGUAACUGCUCGCACCUUGACGGUACCUAACCAGAAAGCCACGGCUAACUACGUGCCAGCAGCCGCGGUAAUACGUAGGUGGCAAGCGUUAUCCGGAAUUAUUGGGCGUAAAGCGCGCGCAGGUGGUUUCUUAAGUCUGAUGUGAAAGCCCACGGCUCAACCGUGGAGGGUCAUUGGAAACUGGGGAACUUGAGUGCAGAAGAGGAAAGUGGAAUUCCAAGUGUAGCGGUGAAAUGCGUAGAGAUUUGGAGGAACACCAGGGCGAAGGCGACUUUCUGGUCUGAACUACACUGAGGCGCGAAAGCGUGGGACAACA
rnacentral:rRNA from 1 species